UUAGCAACAGCACAAAAUAAUCUGGACUCACUUUAUCAAAUCUUUUCCCUGCGGAAGCAACUUUCAAUAGAAAUACGUUGUAAUUACGGCAAUGGGAAGCGCACUCCUCCCCUUCAUUCUCGGCACCGUAGUCACGCUGCUAUCCCACAGCUCUCAGGCUACGGUAAUGAACCCACUCGGACUUGAAGUUGUCCAAAACGCUCCAUCAUGCGCCAUUGGCACUGUAACCGAUUAUACGUCAGAACCGUGUCGUUCCUGUGUCUGUGCACCAUUUCGCAUUUUAUUGUGUCGAAAUCGACUUUGUCUUCAGGCUCCAGGUUCUGGAUCAGGAACGUCAACUACGUCAAGGCCGGAGGUAGCAAAUAGACCAACUUUUGCUCCAGCAGUGACAAAUUUUCCAAUUUUUAGUCCACCAAGAAUUAAGCUUAGUGGGUUCGGGUUAUAAAUUUGUUGACGCAGCGAGUAAAUUUAGUCUGCCUUGUUAUGUUUUUUUAUAAGUGAAAGGUGAAAGUUAAUACAAAUUUUAUUGUCAAAUAUUGUCGUGUUUUUAAUACAAUCAUCAAAUUUAGGUA